CAAUUUUCAAAUCCGCGCUUAUUUUUUCUCUAUCUCUAUUGCGUAGGAACCCUAGUUUCUCUCUCUCCACAUCUGAGCCAUCUCGUUAGGGUUUUUGCUUUCUUUGUAGUUGUAGGGUUUUGAUACGUCGUCAUUGUUGUGUUUCUCUCUCUGGAUUUGUAGUCUUCGUAUCAGUUUAUCUCUCUAAGUUCGUGCUUUCUUUGUGUCUAUGGAGUUCGGAGGUGCUCGAAAGAGAGGGAGGCCACAAGCUUCCUUGAAUGGAAAUGGAGGGUACAAGAAAUCCAAGCAAGAAAUGGAGUCCUUUCCAACUGGUAUAGGAAGCAAAUCGAAGCCAUGCACAAAGUUUUUCAGCACUUCGGGGUGCCCAUUUGGCGAGGGAUGCCAUUUCCUGCAUUACGUU